GAUUUUCGAAAUAGUCAUUUCGAAUUCCCUUGUACGAUUUUCUUCUCAACCGUCCUUUCUCUUUCGACGGCCAUGAUCUCCACAUUCCUUUUGUCUUAUCUGCAGUAUUAAUUAGGUCAUAUUAAUUACUGCCGUCUCUUCAUUAUUACAACCAGCCUCGAAAAUUGAUUCGGCAGCCUUUUCUCUUCCUUUUUCUCCAAGCUUCUUCUUCUUCGCUUUUUUGUUCCUUUUCUUU
rnacentral:lncRNA from 1 species